CGCGGGAAUUCGAUUAGAGUUUGAUCAUGGCUCAGAUUGAACGCUGGCGGCAGGCCUAACACAUGCAAGUCGAGCGGCAGCGGGGGGAAGCUUGCUUCCCGCCGGCGAGCGGCGGACGGGUGAGUAAUGUCUGGGGAUCUGCCCGAUGGAGGGGGAUAACCACUGGAAACGGUGGCUAAUACCGCAUAACCUCUUUGGAGUAAAGUGGGGGACCUUCGGGCCUCACGCCAUCGGAUGAACCCAGAUGGGAUUAGCUAGUAGGUGGGGUAAUGGCUCACCUAGGCGACGAUCCCUAGCUGGUCUGAGAGGAUGACCAGCCACACUGGGACUGAGACACGGCCCAGACUCCUACGGGAGGCAGCAGUGGGGAAUAUUGCACAAUGGGCGCAAGCCUGAUGCAGCCAUGCCGCGUGUAUGAAGAAGGCCUUCGGGUUGUAAAGUACUUUCAGCGGGGAGGAAGGCAACAGCGUGAAUAGCGUUGUUGAUUGACGUUACCCGCAGAAGAAGCACCGGCUAACUCCGUGCCAGCAGCCGCGGUAAUACAAUCACUAGUGAAUUCGCGGCCGCCUGCAGGUCGACCAUAUGGGAGAGCUCCCAACGCGUG
rnacentral:rRNA from 1 species